rnacentral:rRNA from 1 species
GACGAACGCUGGCGGCGUGCUUAACACAUGCAAGUCGAACGGUGAAGCGCCUUCCUUUUUGGUGGGUGUGGAUGAGUGGCGAACGGGUGAGUAACACGUGAGUAACCUGCCCCCUUCUUCUGGAUAACCGCAUGAAAGCGUGGCUAAUACGGGAUAUUCUGGGUCUGUCGCAUGAUGGGUCUGGGAAAGAUAUUGUUUCGGUGGGGGAUGGGCUCGCGGCCUAUCAGCUUGUUGGUGGGGUGAUGGCCUACCAAGGCGGUGACGGGUAGCCGGCGUGAGAGGGUGGACGGCCACACUGGGACUGAGACACGGCUCAGACUGCUACGGGAGGCAGCAGUGGGGAGUAGUGCACAAUGGGCGCAAGCCUGAUGCAGCGACGCCGCGUGAGGGAUGGAGGCCUUCGGGUUGUGAACCUCUUUCGCUAGUGAAGCAGGGCUGCCUCGUUUGUGGGUGGGUUGACGGUAGCUGGAUAAGAAGCGCCGGCUAACUACGUG